rnacentral:rRNA from 1 species
UGCAGUCGAACGAUGAACCUCCUUCGGGAGGGGAUUAGUGGCGAACGGGUGAGUAACACGUGGGCAAUCUGCCCUUCACUCUGGGACAAGCCCUGGAAACGGGGUCUAAUACCGGAUACGACACACGACCGCAUGGUCUGUGUGUGGAAAGCUCCGGCGGUGAAGGAUGAGCCCGCGGCCUAUCAGCUUGUUGGUGGGGUGAUGGCCUACCAAGGCGACGACGGGUAGCCGGCCUGAGAGGGCGACCGGCCACACUGGGACUGAGACACGGCCCAGACUCCUACGGGAGGCAGCAGUGGGGAAUAUUGCACAAUGGGCGAAAGCCUGAUGCAGCGACGCCGCGUGAGGGAUGACGGCCUUCGGGUUGUAAACCUCUUUCAGCAGGGAAGAAGCGAGAGUGACGGUACCUGCAGAAGAAGCGCCGGCUAACUACGUGCCAGCAGCCGCGGUAAUACGUAGGGCGCAAGCGUUGUCCGGAAUUAUUGGGCGUAAAGAGCUCGUAGGCGGCUUGUCACGUCGGAUGUGAAAGCCCGGGGCUUAACCCCGGGUCUGCAUUCGAUACGGGCAGGCUAGAGUUCGGUAGGGGAGAUCGGAAUUCCUGGUGUAGCGGUGAAAUGCGCAGAUAUCAGGAGGAACACCGGUGGCGAAGGCGGAUCUCUGGGCCGAUACUGACGCUGAGGAGCGAAAGCGUGGGGAGCGAA